CACAGCCCCCGCUGUCCUCCUCCCUGCCUCAGCCGUGCCAGCAGCAGCACAGAACUGGAAUUGCCCUGGACGGGCACAGCUCUGCAUAUCCCCCAGGAGUGUGGACAAGAAAAAAUAAACACAGUUAGAGUUCACGACAAUGGGCCCCUGAUGGAAGGUAAGCCCGGCUAGCCUCUAAGGGCUGUGCCGGCUCCCACGAACUUCCAAGGCCGAGGACGGUGCCGAGACCCAACUUCCGGUCUCAAGAAAACUUGGCGCUGCAGGAAGACAAUGACAGUACCCUCCACUGAUCUGCGGCAAGAGGAAAUUUCUGAAUGAUCCCCCCGUAGCUUUCCACGCUCCACUGGGUCUGCGAUACAAAACUUCAGAUCCUAACAGUUGGGCUUUUCAAACAAACCAGUUUUUAAAAAUGAAUGUGGCUUACCCCAACAUUCCAGCUGAUCAAAAGUACUUGUUUAGAAAAAUAAGUUUAGGAAUGAAGUGGAAACAAGGCCUUUGAAAUGCAGCUUAACCUAAAUAGCACCACAUUUUAGACUUUUCCUCCCCACUGCACAUUCUUUAUGGUGUAGGGGCCAGGGAGCCUACAGUCUUCACCCCUCCUGAGCCCUCCUUGGCCUCGGGCUUCCCCUCCCCUGCUGCUGAGGCCUUCAGUCAGGGGCUGGCAUCUGGGAGAACCUUGAAACUGUUUCCCAUCCCCUUUGGCAGCACGCAACAAGCACCAAAACGCUCCAGUUAACACCAGUGCAAUCAUCGUUAACGUGAAACAGCUGCCCGAGGCCUGGCGUAUCCACCAGACCGCCCCCUCCCCUCCAUGCUCAGCUGUGAGUCACCAGAGACCCUGGCUAAGGCAGGGCCCGGGAGGGAGCGGGGAUGCGAGGAUUGUUGAUGGAGCCCAGCUGUUGUAUAUGAGAAAGCAAACUAUUGCUGAAUCUCUUACCUACCUUGGAAAAAGUGUCUGAACUGUGUGCAUGGGGGACGGCGGUGGAGGAGAAGAAACAUGAAUUGAUUUAUGAACCCGAUUUAAGUUCCUAAAGUGAUUGUUUUAAAGUUAGAAACAGCCAGAGUCACUAUAGUUUUUGUUCAACUGUUUGCGAAAUCAGCAGGCAAAUCAAUGUCUUUUUUUCCUUCCUUUUUCUAGAGAUCUGGGUUGAAUUUGCUUUCUGGUCACUUACAGUCCUCUAAAGCACAGACAAGAAAUCUUUUUUGCAUAAAUAACUUGUAUGUGUUCAUUCCCAGAGGAAGUUGUUCGCAUAAGCAAACAUCACCCAGAUAUAAGUUUAACCUCUUUAAUCUUCCCCUCCACCCUGUCCACAAGGACAUACCAGGCUUUCCAAAAUCCAGGCAAAACUCCAGUUCUCCGACCCAGAAAAAGCCUGGCCUCACUCUCCACCUCCAGCUCAGCACUCAGGCCUGGCAGGCCACCGGCUGCAGAAAGAUCCUCCUCCCCUUCCCCACCCAAGCAGUUCUGUUUCCCAGCAAAAAAUCGGACCCUCAGCUGCUACCGCAGCCACAUGAUCCACUCAGUGACUCACAGGCAGGCCACACCCCUUCAGGCCUCCCGGCCAGGCUCUGCUCCCAGCCAGCUAACUCUGGGAUGCAUCUUAUUACCAAAGGGAACAGCUAGCUAACUAAUGCCCUUGACAGUCCAAAUAAUUACUUUCUUUCAGUUAGAAGAACUUGCUUAUAAAAUAUAUACGGGCUGAGAGGACGCAGGCUCUUCUGAACUCUGGCUCUGCCAGCUCUCCAAGUCCUCCCCCACCAUGCCAAGACCUGGGGAAUGGCAAACAUGGUUAGCUGGGAAGCUAGAAAGCUAAGACAUUCCUGUUUAAAAAGAAAGCUCUUACAUGUUAAUAAUACCUUUUUUUCCCAAAAAUUUUAUUGGGGGAAAACUACAAAACAUUUACAGUACAAUGUUUACAGUCACAAUUUGUAGUGAGCUGAUUCCCCAAAAUAUAUUACAACUCAAGUUGACUUAUCUUGUUACAUUCAAAAACCUACUUCUGUCCAAAGUAGUCCAGAGAGUACAUAUAGUGCUCCAACUGUACCUACGUACAAACUAAAGCUACCGCUCAUUCAUCUGCUGUCCAGGAAAGCUUAGGAGACAUUCCUGCCUUUCUACAUGGAAAAAAAAAAUAGUACAAGUUUUGGAAUUUUCUGUAAUUAAACAAGGCAUAUUCAUGUACUACAUAUUUCAGCACUAAGGCGGUUGCUUCACUUUAUAUCUAUAUAAAAAAAGUGGUAAAAAUCUUUUCCUUUUGUGCAGUUGAACCCAUCCUACAUUCAGAUUCUCUCAAGCACUAAUAAAAUACUUAUUUGGUUGAGGAAGAUUUAAGGCAAGUUCGGGCCCUUCCAAAGGCACUGUGAGACUCCCCCCUACUCCCCGUUAUUGCUACAUGUCUUUAUACUCGAGUAUGUCACAGUAGAACUGGUGGAAUAAGCAAACACUUUUUUGCUAGUUUAUAAAGUUGGAAUUAGAAAAGCAUGCCACAUUUCAGCCUGAUUGCAAAGUAUGUGGUCAUUUUUUUCUUUGAAGUUGGAUGGGCUACAACCUUUAUACAUUCUAAGAAAACUCAUAGGAUGUUCCUCAAACUACUUCCACAGCAUCAAGAUCGAUUUCUGUCAAGAAAUCAUGCAAUCUUUCAAAAUUUACGUAAACAAGGAAAGAAAUUAAUGAAAUAAAUAUUACAUACAAUCUCUUAAAUUAAGAAUUUUGUACUCAUUUACAAUAAAAUAACCAAGUGAAGUUACAAAAGGCAUAUAUUACUGUGAAAAGAACAUACACUCCACAUUUUGCCGAUUAAUAAUGGCAAUCAUAAUUUAACAUAAUAAAAGAAUAUAUAUCUAUUGCUUUUCAUCAUACUUGAUAAAUACAGUAUGAACAAAAUUUUCAUUGUAUACUUUUCACAAGAUAAUAAAUAAGUUAAAUAGUUUUCAUAUUGAGUUGUGGUGCAGUGGUGCGAAUCAACUCAAAACAGCUAAAAAUUCAGCAGUUAUUCUCCAACAAUUACAAAGUAAGCUCUGCGCAAGGCUUCCAGAGGGAGCAGACAAAAUGGUUCUAAACUAAACAUCCACUAAGUGGUGGCAAUGAAACCAGUAACCAGUAUGGACCUUUGGAAUCCAAGGGUUUUUUCACCCCCAGACAUAUAUAAUUCUAUUAAAAAACAAAAAACACCUAUGGGCUGAGGGCUAACUAUCAAGGCAUAUUCUUGGCAGAAUAUUGGAUUUUAAAAAGCUUAUAGGUUUAGCAAGGUGGCGGCUGGCUGGUUUGUUUACACCGGUCUGAGACACAAUUAGGAACUUCUUCCAAGAGAAGGGUUCCCACAUCUGGACUUAACUAAUGCUGUUCAAGUGAAGAGAUGGAAUGGUGGUUGGUAGCUGCUGGUGCUGGGUUGAUUUUUCCUGAAGUCCCAAACUCAUCGGAGUCCUAAAAAAGUUUAAGUGUUUUUUUUUUUUGUUCUAUUCGUAUCACAACUGCCCUGUUGUGAAUAUUUUGUUCAACAGAAAAAGUUCCUCGACCUUCUUGCUCAAAAAGAAUGAAACUUCGUAAAUAAAAAUAAAAAAAAGACAA